rnacentral:rRNA from 1 species
GUGGGGAAUCUUCCGCAAUGGACGAAAGUCUGACGGAGCAACGCCGCGUGAGUGAAGAAGGUUUUCGGAUCGUAAAGCUCUUUCGUUAGGGACGAACGUGCUCUUUGUGAAUAAUGAGGAGUAAUGACGGUACCUAAAUAAGAAGCCACGGCUAACUACGUGCCAGCAGCCGCGGUAAUACGUAGGUGGCAAGCGUUGUCCGGAAUUAUUGGGCGUAAAGCGCGCGCAGGCGGGAUAUCAAGUCUGUCAUAAAAGUGCGAGGCUCAACCUCGUGAGGGGACAGAAACUGGUAUUCUUGAGUGUCGGAGAGAAAAGUGGAAUUCCAAGUGUAGCGGUGAAAUGCGUAGAGAUUUGGAAGAACACCAGUGGCGAAGGCGACUUUCUGGACGAUGUCUGACGCUGAGGCGCGAAAGCUAGGGGAGCGAACGGGAUUAGAUACCCGUGUAGUCC